CAAACGACUCUCGGCAACGGAUAUCUCGGCUCACGCAUCGAUGAAGAACGUAGCAAAAUGCGAUACUUGGUGUGAAUUGCAGAAUCCCGUGAACCAUCGAGUUUUUGAACGCAAGUUGCGCCCGAAGCCACUCGGCUGAGGGCACGCCUGCCUGGGCGUCACGC
rnacentral:rRNA from 1 species